rnacentral:tRNA from 1 species
GCCUUCGUGGUGUAAUGGUCAGCAUGUCGGGCGCGUAUUCCAGAGGUCCGUGGUUCGAGUCCCGGCGAAGACA